rnacentral:rRNA from 1 species
CUACUUGAAUUGCAGAACUCCGUGAACCAAUGGCCUCUUGAACGUGCAUUGCGCUCUUGGGAUAUGCCUGAGAGCAUGUCUGCUUCAGUGCUUCUACUUUCAUUUUCUGCUGCUUGUUAUCGGGAGCAGUGUUGCUGCAUGCUUCUGCAAAAGGCACUGGCAUGCUAAGUAUCAAGUUUUGCUUGCUGUUCUGACUGAUCAACAACUCAUGUCGUUUCAGUUGGCGAAACAAAAGCUGAAGUGUGUUCUUAACACUUCCUAGCAUGAAGUCAGACAAGUGAACCCGCUGAACUUAAGCAUAUGGAUCCCCA